UACGUAGGGUGCGAGCGUUGUCCGGAAUUAUUGGGCGUAAAGAGCUUGUAGGCGGUUUGUCGCGUCUGCCGUGAAAAUUCGAGGCUCAACCUCGAACUUGCGGUGGGUACGGGCAGACUAGAGUGUGGUAGGGGAGACUGGAAUUCCUGGUGUAGCGGUGAAAUGCGCAGAUAUCAGGAGGAACACCGAUGGCGAAGGCAGGUCUCUGGGCCUGUUCUGACGCUGAGGAGCGAAAGCGUGGGGAGCGAACAGG
rnacentral:rRNA from 1 species